rnacentral:rRNA from 1 species
GACGUAGGGCGCGAGCGUUGUCCGGAUUUAUUGGGCGUAAAGAGCUCGUAGGCGGCUUGUCGCGUCGUCCGUGAAAACCUGCGGCUCAACUGCAGGCUGGCGGUCGAUACGGGCAGGCUGGAGUUCGGUAGGGGAGACUGGAAUUCCUGGUGUAGCGGUGAAAUGCGCAGAUAUCAGGAGGAACACCGGUGGCGAAGGCGGGUCUCUGGGCCUGUCCUGACGCUGAGGCGCGAAAGCUAGGGGAGCGAACAGG